rnacentral:rRNA from 1 species
GACGAACGCUGGCGGCGUGCUUAACACAUGCAAGUCGAACGGAAAGGCCCGGCUUUUGUGGGGUGCUCGAGUGGCGAACGGGUGAGUAACACGUGAGUAACCUGCCCUUGACUUUGGGAUAACUUCAGGAAACUGGGGCUAAUACCGGAUAGGAGCUCCUGCUGCAUGGUGGGGGUUGGAAAGUUUCGGCGGUUGGGGAUGGACUCGCGGCUUAUCAGCUUGUUGGUGGGGUAGUGGCUUACCAAGGCUUUGACGGGUAGCCGGCCUGAGAGGGUGACCGGCCACACUGGGACUGAGAUACGGCCCAGACUCCUACGGGAGGCAGCAGUGGGGAAUAUUGCACAAUGGGCGGAAGCCUGAUGCAGCAACGCCGCGUGCGGGAUGACGGCCUUCGGGUUGUAAACCGCUUUCGCCUGUGACGAAGCGUAAGUGACGGUAAUGGGUAAAGAAGCACCGGCUAACUACGUG